rnacentral:rRNA from 1 species
AACGAACGCUGGCGGCAUGCCUAACACAUGCAAGUCGAACGAGACCUUCGGGUCUAGUGGCGCACGGGUGCGUAACGCGUGGGAAUCUGCCCUUGGGUUCGGAACAACAGUUAGAAAUGACUGCUAAUACCGGAUGAUGACGAAAGUCCAAAGAUUUAUCGCCCAAGGAUGAGCCCGCGUAAGAUUAGGUAGUUGGUGGGGUAAAGGCCUACCAAGCCGACGAUCUUUAGCUGGUCUGAGAGGAUGAUCAGCCACACUGGGACUGAGACACGGCCCAGACUCCUACGGGAGGCAGCAGUGGGGAAUAUUGGACAAUGGGCGAAAGCCUGAUCCAGCAAUGCCGCGCGAGUGAUGAAGGCCUUAGGGUUGUAAAGCUCUUUUACCAGGGAUGAUAAUGACAGUACCUGGAGAAUAAGCUCCGGCUAACUCCGUGCCAGCCGCCGCAGUAA